CUCGUCUCUGUCAUGCGGCCCUCAGUUUCAGCCUCUGCAUGAGGAGGUGAGUCAUACGACAGGGCGACAGGUUUCAUGCCGGAGUCAGGGGACUCAACACGCUCGCGUCGUCCUCGGUUGGGCUCGUUAUCCACCUUGGGCGUCACGUGGACUCCCGCGCCUGAAGCCCGAGGAUAUCCGCUGCAGCCGAGCGCGUUCGCUGCCGCUCUCCCGACCCUCGUCACUCAGUCUUCAGCGACCUGUUCGCCCGGCCACCCGCCCGCUUGUCGCUCACGCCCGCGCCCCUCUACGUCGCCUCGAUUAUAAAAAUAACAUUUGACAGCAGCCAGCUCAAUCAUGCGCGGUUUGGUGUAUGGUUUAAUAGGCACAUGAUUUUAUAAUGUGAUAGAAAAUUGAAAAUUGAAAUUGAAUAAAGCAAUGGUAGAGAUGAGAGUGAACAUUUAGAAGAAAAAAUUGAGUUAGAGGAAACGAGGGAUGAAUUUUGACCAUUGCGUUAUUAAUUAUUG